AUACGGAAGGUCCGGGCGUUAUCCGGAUUUAUUGGGUUUAAAGGGAGCGCAGGCGGAGAUGCAAGCGUGACGUCAAAUUUCGGGGCUCAACCCCGUCUCGCGUCGCGAACUGCGUCCCUUGGUUGCGGGAAGGGGAGGCGGAACUCGUGGGGUAGCGGCGAAAUGCAUAGAUAUCACGAAGAACUCCGAUCGCGAAGGCAGCCUUCCGGCCCGUCAACGACGCUCAUGCUCGAAGGUGCGGGUAUCAAACAGGAUUAGAUACCCUGGUAGUCCGCACAGUAAACGAUGGACACCCGCGGUUUGGCCUGUAUGGCUGAGCCGCCAAGCGAAAGCGUUAAGUGUCCCACCUGGGGAGUACGCCGGCAACGGUGAAACUUAAAGGAAUUGACGGGG
rnacentral:rRNA from 1 species